AACGAACGCUGGCGGCAGGCUUAACACAUGCAAGUCGAGCGGGCGCUUUCGGGCGUCAGCGGCGGACGGGUGAGUAACGCGUGGGAACGUGCCCUUUCCUCCGGAAUAGCCUCUGGAAACGGAGAUUAAUGCCGGAUACGCCCUUUUGGGGAAAGAUUUAUCGGGGAAGGAUCGGCCCGCGUCGGAUUAGGUAGUUGGUGGGGUAACGGCCUACCAAGCCGACGAUCCGUAGCUGGUUUGAGAGGAUGACCAGCCACACUGGGACUGAGACACGGCCCAGACUCCUACGGGAGGCAGCAGUGGGGAAUCUUGGACAAUGGGGGCAACCCUGAUCCAGCCAUGCCGCGUGAGCGAUGAAGGCCUUAGGGUUGUAAAGCUCUUUCAGCGGGGAAGAUAAUGACGGUACCCGCAGAAGAAGCCCCGGCUAACUCCGUGCCAGCCGCCGCCGUAAUAC
rnacentral:rRNA from 1 species